rnacentral:tRNA from 1 species
GAGGGUAUCGUUUAGUGGUAGAGUGUAUGCUUAGCAUGCAUGGGGUCCUGGGUUCAAUCCCCAGUUCCCCA